GAUGAACGCUGGCGGCGUGCCUAAUACAUGCAAGUCGAGCGAACGGACGAGACUCUUGCAUCUCUGAUGUUAGCGGCGGACGGGUGAGUAACACGUGGAUAACCUACCUAUAAGACUGGGAUAACUUCGGGAAACCGUAGCUAAUACCGGAUAAUAUUUUGAACCGCAUGGUUCAAAAGUGAAAGACGGUCUUUCUGUCACUUAUAGAUGGAUCCGCGCUGCAUUAGCUAGUUGGUAAGGUAACGGCUUACUAAGGCAACGAUGCAUAGCCGACGUGAGAGGUUGACAGGCCGCAAUAGACGUGAAACACAGACCUGACUCCUACGGGAGGCAGCAGUAGGGAAUCGUACGCAAUACGCGGAUGCCUGACGUAGCGGCGCAGCGUGAGGGGUGACGGUAUUCCGCUCGUAAAACGUUCCUAUUAGGGAAGAACGUCUUUGAAAGUAACUGUAGACAGAGUGACGUUAGCAAGUCAAAAAGCAUCGGCUAGCUCCGUG
rnacentral:rRNA from 1 species